UGUAUGAAUGAUAUCACGUUGAAAGCACCGGUUCUCGUCCGAUCGCUGUAGUUAAGCAAUGUCGAACCUAGUGAAUACUAAGAUGGGUGACUGCUUGGGAAACCUAGGUGGUGUAAGCGU
rnacentral:rRNA from 1 species